rnacentral:pre_miRNA from 1 species
UGACUAUUCGUCUUAUUUAAAAAUUUUUUAUGAUUAAUAUUUUUAUUGUUACCGGAUGGUAAAACAUGAAUAGUGCUUUAUGCGUGACUAAUUUUUUAAAGCUUUAUACAUUUUUUUAUAAAUAAGACGAAUGGUUA